UUUCUCCAAUUCUAUUUGUACCUGCCUCUGUGGACCCUCCAGAUGUCUCCCAACGACUUAUGGGUGUUCCCCUAAAUUCCCAGAAGAGCUCACAGUCCGUUGUCUCGGCCACCGUGCCGCCGCGUGGUUUCCUCUCAUUCCCCCAGCUGCCGAGGAUCACAGGCCCUCUGGUGCUGCCUGUGGGUGUGCGUGUAGGCUGCUGAUGAAUGUGUGGUUCAGAGGAUGCAGCCUCUGCCACGCCGAGGCCAGCUGGGGUCACUCAGCUGCACCCUGUGGCCGGAAACGUCCCCGGACGCUGCUGGUGUGCCGGAGCGCCAGCCCUGCCAAGGUUUCACUCCCUACCGGGAUUUCUCAAAUCUGUUCUGGCUUCAUCUCCCAUCGGGGAAAAAAGGUACCCCCUCGGAGGCAAGAGAGGCAGGACCAGGAGGAAGAGGGGACCUCACCGGGCAAGGGGGACCGCACUUGCCGGCUGUUCCCCUUCUCACUCGCUACCCAGGGUAUUUUUAUCAGAAGAAACGGAGAGAUUCAGCUCCAUUGAAAAUUCAGUGAACACCGUCAAGUCCCAAAUGUACAACUAAUGGAAGCCCAAUAUCUUCCCCAGGACCCUGGCUUACACAGAGAGCACCGCUCAGUGAGUGCACAUGUGCUCACCUUCAUUUUCCCAGCCUUCCUUGGUCUGAUAUCGGGUGAUCAGCCUGGACAGUGGGCUGUGAGCUGCAGUGAUGGUGUCAUAUGUAAUCCAAGCCACUGAGGAG
rnacentral:lncRNA from 1 species